CACAACCAGUGCAUGGUUCUCUGUUGGUAAUCACACGCUGGAGUACAACUACACGUACAGCAACAACUACACAACAUUUGGUAUUGAAUGCAAUGUGAGAAUUGUUGUCACACCUGCAGACAACGGCGGAUGUUGCGGAGACGGAGGCAUAACUAAGAGAAGAAGAUUCCGGCGGCAGUAUCUCAACGCAGUCUGUGACUCGAAUUGUUUCCUUUCGGAUGGAGUCGUGAAGUUCUCUCAGACAUGUUUGAGAAUGUAUUGCAAAAAAACAAACAAUGGCUGCAAGGCUCUCUACCGUUAUUGAGUCCGAUGUUUCUACUGGUUGACGUUGAUAACCGUCCAUGAUGAUGAAAAACAUAGCGACGAACAAUUAAUCUAGAAGAAAGAUAGAUCAUUUCUACUGCUGUGGAAAUUAGAAUUAUAUUACUUUAUUUCAUUUUAACCGCCCUUCUUUUCAAAUGUUUCAUUAUAUAUGAAAAUA